ensembl:snRNA U6 U6 spliceosomal RNA
CUGAUCACUUUCGUAGCACAUAUACUAAAAUCAGAAUUAUACAAAGAUUAGCAUGGCCCCUGCUCAAGGAUAACAUAUAAGUUCAUAGAGCAUUCCAUAAAAAAA